rnacentral:rRNA from 1 species
GAGUUUGAUCCUGGCUCAGGACGAACGCUGGCGGCGUGCUUAACACAUGCAAGUCGAGCGAUGAAGCACCUUCGGGUGUGAAUUAGCGGCGAACGGGUGAGGAACACGUGAAGAAUCUGCCUUCAACUCUGGGAUAACUCCGGGAAACCGGGGCUAAUACCGGAUAUGAGCCUUGAUCGCAUGAUCGGGGCUGGAAAGUUUUUCGGUUGAAGAUGACUUCGCGGCCUAUCAGCUUGUUGGUGAGGUAAUGGCUCACCAAGGCGACGACGGGUAGCCGGCCUGAGAGGGCGACCGGCCACACUGGGACUGAGACACGGCCCAGACUCCUACGGGAGGCAGCAGUGGGGAAUAUUGGGCAAUGGAGGAAACUCUGACCCAGCGACGCCGCGUGAGGGAUGAAGGCCUUCGGGUUGUAAACCUCCUUCAGUAGGGAAGAAGCGAAAGUGACGGUACCUACAGAAGAAGCACCGGCUAACUAUGUGCCAGCAGCCGCGGUAAUACAUAGGGUGCAAGCGUUGUCCGGAAUUAUUGGGCGUAAAGAGCUCGUAGGUGGUUCGAUACGUCGGAUGUGAAAAUCAGGGACUCAACCCCUGACCUGCAUCCGAUACGGUCGAGCUGGAGUUUGGUAGGGGAGACUGGAAUUCCUGGUGUAGCGGUGGAAU